GACGAACGCUGGCGGCGUGGAUUAGGCAUGCAAGUCGAACGGUAUCAUCCUUUCGGGGGUGAGAGAGUGGCGAACUGGUGAGUAACACGUAGGUUAUCUACCCUCAAGACGGGGACAACCCAGGGAAACUUGGGCUAAUACCGGAUGUGAGCAACUUUUAGUUGUUUGAAAGGUGGCGUAAGCUGUCGCUUGGGGAUGAGCCUGCGUCCUAUUAGUUAGUUGGUGAGGUAACGGCUCACCUAGGCAAUGAUAGGUAGGCGGCCUUAACGGGUGGUCGCCCACACUGGGAUUGAGAUACGGCCCAGACUCCUACGGGAGGCAGCAGUCGAGAAUAGUCUACAAUGGUCGGAAGACUGAUAGUGCGACGCCGCGUGAACGAUGAAUCCCUUCGGGGUGUAAAGUUCUUUUAUAUGUGAGCAGUGCUUCUUAUAUUAACAGUAUGGGGAGAGAGGUAUUAGCAUAUGAAUAAGCAACGGCUAACUCCGUGCCAGCAGCCGCGGUAAAAUCACG
rnacentral:rRNA from 1 species